UUAAAUUGAAGAGUUUGAUCAUGGCUCAGAUUGAACGCUGGCGGCAGGCCUAACACAUGCAAGUCGAACGGU
rnacentral:rRNA from 39 species